rnacentral:rRNA from 1 species
AUGGAGGGUGGGCUUUCGGUUCAAUAUAUUGCACAGUUCUGUACGGUUUGGGAGAAGCUCAGCCAGGUUGAACUUUGGGAUGACCUGGCCUAUGACAUCAAGUGGAACCUCACGACCAAUGGCACAUACUCGUCCGCCUCGCAAUUCGAAGUGCUAUGGGGAAAAUGCACCCCCCCCCCCCAACAAGUUUUUCGCGUGGCUCGUCAACAAGAACAUGAUUUGGACGGUCUACAGCGGCGAGGGUGGCCGAAUUGCAAUGUAUGCCAACUCUGCAAAAGGGAGCCGGAGACGACGACACACAUUAUGUUCUAGUAUAGGUUCUUCAUGCGCAUUUGGAAUGCGGUGAGAUGUUGGCUUGACAUGCCGGAGCUCGACAUUGCUGACUGGCCUGGAAUCUCUUUGGUCCAUGAGUGGUGGACUAGAACGAUCCUUGGUCGCGAACACCAGAGGAAGGCGGUCUCUUGGCUUAUAAUGCUAGUCUCUUGGUAGGUUUGAAAAGAGAGAAACGCAAGGGUAUUUCAGAAGAAAUCCUCAAUGCCACCACGGUGCUAG